UUGACCUCUUGAAAGAAUCUAAGAGCUUAAGGAUUUUCUGAAGUUAAAGGAAUUUCAGCGGAUCGAGGUACAGACGAAUCUACUGAGGAGCUGAGUAUUACUGAGGAGGGAGAGGCCGAUGUUUAGUAGUCCCUGGGUAGUUUGGUUUCUUCUAUGAUGAUAUAUGUUUCUUAUGUUUCAAUAAUGGAAACCCUCCUGCUUUAAGUUAGUUUUCUUUUGUAAUGACUAAAGGGACUGAGUC